rnacentral:rRNA from 1 species
UACAGAGGUCCCGAGCGUUAGCCGGAAUCAUUGGGCUUAAAGCGUGUGUAGGCGGCGCUGUAAGUCGGGUGUGAAAUCUCGGGGCUUAACUCCGAAACUGCAUUCGAUACUGCGGUGCUUGAGGACUGGAGAGGAGACUGGAAUUCAUGGUGUAGCAGUGAAAUGCGUAGAGAUCAUGAGGAAGACCAGUGGCGAAGGCGGGGCUCUGGACAGUUCCUGACACUGAGGCACGAAGGCCAGGGGAGCAAACGGG